AACGAACGCUGGCGGCAGGCUUAACACAUGCAAGUCGAGCGCCCCGCAAGGGGAGCGGCAGACGGGUGAGUAACGCGUGGGAAUCUACCCAUCUCUACGGAAUAACGCAUGGAAACGUGUGCUAAUACCGUAUACGUCCUUCGGGAGAAAGAUUUAUCGGAGAUGGAUGAGCCCGCGUUGGAUUAGCUAGUUGGUGGGGAAAAGGCCUACCAAGGCGACGAUCCAUAGCUGGUCUGAGAGGAUGAUCAGCCACACUGGGACUGAGACACGGCCAGACUCCUACGGGAGGCAGCAGGGGGGAAUAUUGGACAAUGGGCGCAAGCCUGAUCCAGCCAUGCCGCGUGAGUGAUGAAGGCCCUAGGGUUGUAAAGCUCUUUCACCGGUGAAGAUAAUGACGGUAACCGGAGAAGAAGCCCCGGCUAACUUCGUGCCAGCAGCCGCGGUAACAC
rnacentral:rRNA from 1 species